GACGAACGCUGGCGGCGUGCCUAAUACAUGCAAGUAGAACGCUGAAGGAGGAGCUUGCUCUUCUGGAUGAGUUGCGAACGGGUGAGUAACGCGUAGGUAACCUGCCUGGUAGCGGGGGAUAACUAUUGGAAACGAUAGCUAAUACCGCAUAAGAGUAGAUGUUGCAUGACAUUUGCUUAAAAGGUGCAAUUGCAUCACUACCAGAUGGACCUGCGUUGUAUUAGCUAGUUGGUGGGGUAACGGCUCACCAAGGCGACGAUACAUAGCCGACCUGGGAGGGGGAUCGGCCACACUGGGACUGAGACACGGCCCAGACUCCUACGGGAGGCAGCAGUAGGGAAUCUUCGGCAAUGGACGGAAGUCUGACCGAGCAACGCCGCGUGAGUGAAGAAGGUUUUCGGAUCGUAAAGCUCGGUUGUAAGAGAAGAACGAGUGUGAGAGUGGAAAGUUCACACUGUGACGGUAGCUGACCAGAAAGGGACGGCUAACUACGUG
rnacentral:rRNA from 1 species